AAAAGACUCAGUCCUAACCUUACUAUUAAUUCUUGCCAGACCUAUACAUGCAAGUAUCUGCAUCCCAGUGUAAAUGCCCCCAACCCCUUACCAAGACAAGAGGAGCAGGUAUCAGGCACACCCCCCUUCGUAGCCCAAAACGCCUUGCUUAGCCACACCCCCACGGGUACUCAGCAGUAACUAACAUUAAGCAAUGAGCGCAAGCUCGACUUAGUCAUGGCAACGUCAGGGUUGGUAAAUCUUGUGCCAGCCACCGCGGUCACACAAGAAACCCAAAUUAAUCGUAUACGGCGUAAAGAGUGACUUAAUACUAUCGCCCCAUUUGAGGCCAAAAUAUGCCCAAGCUGUCAUAAGCCCAAGGCACACCUAAGCCCCCAUUCUCCUCAACCCCAGCGAUUGACCAACCUCACGAAAGCCAGGGGACAAACUGGGAUUAGAUACCCCACUAUGCCUGGCCGUAAAUUCAAAUGCUUUCCCUCCACCCAAGCAUUCGCCAGGGAACUACGAGCACAAACGCUUAAAACCCUAAGGACUUGGCGGUGUCCCAAACCCACCUAGAGGAGCCUGUUCUAUAAUCGAUAACCCACGUUACACCCAACCCCCCCUCGCCCCAAGCAGCCUACAUACCGCCGUCGCCAGCUCACCUCACCUGAGAGCUCAAUAGUGAGCACAACAGCCUCACCCGCUAAAAAGACAGGUCAAGGUAUAGCCCAUGGGGGGGGAAGAAAUGGGCUACAUUUUCUGACCCAGAAGACAACGAAAGAGGGCCUGAAAACCAGCCCUCAGAAGGCGGAUUUAGCAGUAAAACAUGACCAUCAUGCUUGUCUAAACUGGCCCUGGGACACGUACAUACCGCCCGUCACCCUCCUCACAAGCAACCCCCCCCCACCCUUCCAAUCAAAACCACAAUUCGCCAAAGAUGAGGUAAGUCGUAACAAGGUAAGUGUACCGGAAGGUGCACUUAGCAAAC
rnacentral:ncRNA from 1 species